GAUGAACGCCGGCGGUGUGCCUAAUACAUGCAAGUCGAGCGCACUGGCCCAGCUGAUAUGACGUGCUUGCACUGAUUUGACGAUGGAUUACCAGUGAGCGGCGGACGGGUGAGUAACACGUGGGCAACCUGCCCUGGAGCGGGGGAUAACAUCUGGAAACAGGUGCUAAUACCGCAUGACUACUAAAACCACCUGGUUUUAGUAUAAAAGAAGGCUUCGGCUUUCACUUUAGGAUGGGCCCGCGGUGCAUUAGCUAGUUGGUAAGGUAACGGCUUACCAAGGCGAUGAUGCAUAGCCGAGUUGAGAGACUGAUCGGCCACAAUGGAACUGAGACACGGUCCAUACUCCUACGGGAGGCAGCAGUAGGGAAUCUUCCACAAUGGGCGCAAGCCUGAUGGAGCAACACCGCGUGAGUGAAGAAGGGUUUCGGCUCGUAAAGCUCUGUUGUUGAAGAAGAACGUGCGUGAGAGUAACUGUUCA
rnacentral:rRNA from 2 species